rnacentral:ncRNA from 1 species
UGAUAGCGUAGAAGCGGAGGUUGCCGCCCUGCGAGGCGGGUUUUUCCGUGGAGCGAAUGUCAAAGUUCAUGAAACUAUGACGAC